rnacentral:rRNA from 1 species
UACGAAGGGGACUAGCGUUGUUCGGAAUCACUGGGCGUAAAGCGCACGUAGGCGGAUGUGUCAGUCAGGGGUGAAAUCCCGGGGCUCAACCUCGGAACUGCCUUUGAUACAGCACGUCUCGAGUCCGGAAGAGGUAGGUGGAAUUCCUAGUGUAGAGGUGAAAUUCGUAGAUAUUAGGAAGAACACCGGUGGCGAAGGCGGCCCACUGGUCCGGUACUGACGCUGAGGUGCGAAAGCGUGGGGAGCAAACGGG